ACAUAACCCUGUGUCCAUCUUCUACCUGGUUAGGUUUCCGCCCUUCUUUCGUCUUCUUCCUCAAAAUUCAUUUCAUUUCAACUUUUAACCUCUUCUUCUCCCCCUUCUUCGUCGUAGUGGUGUGUUUGUGAAGUUGAUUCGGCGUGGAAAUGAUGGGAAUAGUAAAAGGUUUGAGCAGGAAGAAAGCGUGUUGGUUUGGUUUGGCGGUGACAGUGUUUGGAGUUAGGGCAAAGUGAAGAAGGCCCCUGUCCCUUGCUGAGUUAUUGCAUGGCGACGCUCGCAACUUCUUCCAUAUCAAUGAUGAUCUCAGGGGUUGUAUGAAAAGGCGUGGGUUGCAUUCUAGUAUGGAAUCGCGACUUAGACUUCUCCCCUCACAUUGUUCCCUCCCUUCAACAUAGUCACUGUUCCGCCACCAACGCGCUUCCUGCGUUGAUUACAAACUCCUCUCUGAUCCACGCCAACAAACAUUUCUGCUUUAUUUCAUCAAUUUGUAAAUCGUCGAUAUUCAUUAUUCACUAACCUAAUUUUCUCCACAUUAUUCCUGUUUUUUUGGUCAUUUCUGCAACUUUUUCAUUUUACAUAAAUACUGAUCCACAUUUUUUGUUAUAUUGUCAGAACUUGACGUUGGUGGUGAUUCGCAUAUUUGAUCUGUAACAGUAGCGAACGCUCAGGUAAGAAAAUCGUAAGUUUCAAUUGCUAUAGACUUUUUCCUUGAUUCGAUUCCGAAGAGAAGAUUCGUUUCUUCCUCGUAUGAAUCUGUCCGCUAUUGAUAUUAUAAUUUCUCUUUGUCUAAUAAGUCUUUUAAUAGAAAAUCAAAUGGUGAUAAUUUCCUCAAGUUCUUUCAGCUUGCCUAAUUGGGUUUAUUUUAUGUGAAUCUGUAUGAAAAACACAUUUUUAAUUAGCUUGUUAGUUUCAUUAUUUAUGCAUUAUGAACAAAAAGUUCAAACUCCACCGAUAAUCCUGCCUGACAAUUUUCAAAUUUACGGACUCUUUCGGUGGACACAACAUUUAAAUAAGAUUUUAUUUUUUUACUUAACUACCUUUUAUGCUUAAAUUUGUGAUUUAAUUUAAACAUUUUCAAAAAUAAUUCAGUUUAAUCUAAUUUUUUUAGUCAAAAUUUAAAAAUACAUUCAAUGAAAAAAAUGAUCAAUACAUAUAUAGUGUAGGGAAGCAGGGCUCGUAUAUAAUUCCGCUUCUCGAGAUUCUAACUAUUUUGGACAAAAAAAAAAUACUUGCAUGUUCUUCUCAAAGUGUAAUAAGAUCAAAUAAACAAAAUAUCUUAAUAAACCCCUAUCCAACAUCUAUCGUAUCAAAUUUUUAUUUUAAAAUAUAAAAUAAUUUUAAAACAUCAACUACAAAAUUAAAAAUAUUGUUUUAUAUUGUGGUAUAGGGGUAGAAAAGUUGUGUGUUAAAAUUUUCCUAAAAGGAGGGCAAAACGUUUCAAGAAUCUAAAUGGUGUUUACCUAUCAUCACAGUAAAAUCCCUUCACACAAUAUGGUGAAGUAUGGUUAUUAAAUAAAUGUACUUUUGCAACACGGGAUCAUGGUUUGAUCUAUAUAGACUUGUAUUAGUAACAGUGUAUUUAGAGAUAAAAAAAAUGAAAAACAAUUUCGUAGAUAAAUUUAUUCUUAAUAAAACUUUUAAAUUAAUUUCAACGAUAAUGGCUUCACAAAGUUGUGCUAGACUAUUUUAAUUAGGAUUAUCAAAUACAUAAAAUAUCAAUAAUGCAUGAGUGUGAUCUAUAUACGUAAAGUUAACCAAAAUGAUAUAGGCAUUAAUCAUGUGUAAUCCAAAACAAAAUCAAAUAUUAGCUUGAUUAAAACAUGUUGCAGAAAAAUAAGAAUUUUGGUUUCUCAUUGUUCUAAACCGAAUUUUGGUUUUCAUGUUGCAGAAAAGAAACUUCAUAGGUACUUUAUACUCAACUCCAAGGUUACCUACCAAUCAUAAUUUCUAUCAAUAAUAGUUCACAUAGCCUCUAGGUCAUCAAAUAUGAUUUUUAUUCAUGGCAUGUGUAAUCCAAAACAAAAUCAAACAUUGUAACCUAUGCAUAAAAAUAAGAAUGAGAAUACACAGAGACUAGAAAAUAGAGAAAGAUUAAACAAGAAUGACGUAAACCCCUUGUCUUAAUGAGAUGGCUGAUUUAGGAUAUGUAGGGUUAGAAUUAGGGAAUUUGAAAAAUUAGUCAGAUAGGAGUUGAUGUAACAACUUUUCCAUUCCAAUCAAUGGAGCACCUUUCUUGCCAACACUCACUCACCUUUAUAUGUAAC
rnacentral:lncRNA from 1 species